rnacentral:rRNA from 1 species
UACGUAGGGUGCGAGCGUUGUCCGGAAUUACUGGGCGUAAAGAGCUCGUAGGUGGUUUGUCGCGUUGUUCGUGAAAUCUCACGGCUUAACUGUGAGCGUGCGGGCGAUACGGGCAGACUGGAGUACUGCAGGGGAGACUGGAAUUCCUGGUGUAGCGGUGGAAUGCGCAGAUAUCAGGAGGAACACCGGUGGCGAAGGCGGCGACCUGGGUCGAGACUGACGCUGAGGCGCGAAAGCGUGGGGAGCGAACAGG